rnacentral:lncRNA from 1 species
UUUCUAUGUUAGCUUUGAACUUGCUCAUGCAGUCUUCUGCUAUAUUAAGAUGGACAACUUGCCUAGUGAUCUCCUUACGAUACUGUGGCAUCUUUUUCAUUAAGUGGGCCAGACCGGACAACGUUAAUUUCCCUUCUGCUGCUUUCUUCUUGGAUGAAACUUCUUUCAACAGCUGAGAUAUUUCCUCUAUUACAUCUGCAAUAUGCUUGUGCCGAAUCUUCACCCAAAGCUCAUCAUCUUCUUC